AAAUAGUGACAACUGAAGUGAUUCCCGGAACAAAUACUUGAAUUUCAAUUGUCACAAAGCAAACAAAUUUGGACUUUGUGUCGUGCAACAAAAUCUUUUCUUCUCAUCCCGAUUGUUUCUUCAAGUGCUAUAGUGUUUGACAUACAAGCUUCUCUGCUUUAAUAUGUUUGAGACAAUAAUAGUUAUGUGCCACUUGAAUGUUUUCAAUUGAAUUAACCAUCACCAUCAAUUACCCGAGGUUAGAAUUCUUUUCAUUAAAUUGGCGUAAUCUUCCAGGGUAAACAAGACCUCUAUGAAGUAAAAUUCUUCGAUUUGCACUAGUGGACAGUUUACCGUCCCUGUUUGACCUGGAUAUCUGUUUAAUUGAAAUUUAUCAAGGCUUCACAUCUUUAUCUGCCAGAUGUAACUGAUGAGUAACAUAGCUCAGCCGACACCGCUCGUGAUCCUCGAGGAUUUGCAGUCAAAUUUUACACCGAAGAAGGCAACUGGGAUUUAGUCGGAAACAACCCCCCAUAUUUAUUAUUCGUGAACAUAUUCUCUUUCCGAGCUUUAUUCAUACUCAGAAACGCAAUCCAGUAAUCCAUUUGAAGGACCCUGAUAUGUUCUGGGAUUUCAUAUCUCUUCGACCAGAAACGACUCAUUAAGUUUGCUUUAUGUUUUCCGAUCGUGGGACUCCAGAUUGUUAUCGUUUCAUGGACGGUUACGAAUCGCAUACCUUUAAGUUAGUUAAUGCUGAAGGCAAGCC